rnacentral:rRNA from 1 species
ACGGGGCCCGCACAAGCGGUGGAGCAUGUGGUUUAAUUCGAUGCAACGCGAAGAACCUUACCUGGGCUUGACAUCCCGGGAAUCCCCUGGAAACAGAGAAGUGCUUUAGCAAUAAAGAACCCGGUGACAGGUGCUGCAUGGCUGUCGUCAGCUCGUGUCGUGAGAUGUUGGGUUAAGUCCCGCAACGAGCGCAACCCUCGCCUUUAGUUGCCAGCAUUCAGUUGGGCACUCUAGAGGGACUGCCGGUGUCAAACCGGAGGAAGGUGGGAUGACGUCAAGUCCUCAUGGCCUUUAUGUCUAGGGCUACACACGUACUACAAUGGCCGGUACAAAGGGCAGCCACUCAGCGAUGAGGCGCUAAUCCCAUAAAGCCGGUCUCAGUCCGGAUCGCAGUCUGCAACUCGACUGCGUGAAGUUGGAAUCGCUAGUAAUCGUAGAUCAGCAUGCUACGGUGAAUACGUUCCCGGGCCUU